GGCAAGAUGGCCGAGCGGUCCAAGGCGCUGUGUUCAGGUUUCUCCUAGAAACUCGAGACUCGCAGUCCGAAAGGGCGUGGGUUCGAAUCCCACUCUUGUCA